rnacentral:misc_RNA from 1 species
CAGAGUUGCAAGACUCCCUAAACCAUUGUGAACCUACCUUCUACCGUUGCUUCGGCGGGGGCCGGGGUCUCCCAGGGCGCCCCCCUGGGCCCCAUCCGCGGGCGCCCGCCGGAGGAUACUCCAAACUCCUGAUACAUUUAUGGCCUCUCUGAGUAUUCUGUACUGAAUAAGUCA